rnacentral:lncRNA from 1 species
GCUGGUUCAGUGUGCUGAACUUUGCUAGCAGCUGAGAAAGGAAGCUAGAAAGAGGCAAGCUCCUGAUGCAAAGGUUGGCGUGCAGCAUAAUUUAGGCCUUAGAGAAGCUGGGGUUUUAACACUUCACAAGAUGUGUUUUCUCAAAGCUGCCAGUUCUUUUAGAACUCAUCAAAUUAGGCUGCUCCAACCAGCUUUACAGGGAAUGGAUUUAAGGCAAAUCUUGUGUUUAAAGAGAUUUAGAGGAAGCCUGAAGAGGAAAGUGGACAGAUUGUGAAGAAAAUCCGUGGUAUUUUUGCCUUUAAGGUGAAGAAUGAAUGGCCUAGGGGGUAAAGAAGCCACCUAGUGGUGGAGGUAAAGAACACAAAGGAUCAGUGCUUUCUAACUCUAACUCAGAUGAGAAAGCUGACCACACAAUCACAAAGACUGACUAGGAUUUACUGGCUUUAGUGAUUGAAGUGGUAAAAUGAAUCCUCAGUUCUCCUUCUUUCAAGGCAAAGGGAAAAUCACUGGCAAUAUGAAGUUACAAAGUUUUCAGCUUCAGCCGAGCAAAGGUAAG